rnacentral:tRNA from 1 species
GGGCUUGUAGCUCAGUAGUAGAGCGCUCCCUUGGCAUGGGAGAGGCCGGGGGUGCGACUCCCCCCAAGUCCA